UACAGAGGUCCCAAGCGUUGUUCGGAUUCAUUGGGCGUAAAGGGUGCGUUGGCGGCGCGGUAAGUCGGGUGUGAAAUCUCGGAGCUUAACUCCGAAACUGCAUUCGAUACUGCCGUGCUUGAGGACUGGAGAGGAGACUGGAAUUUACGGUGUAGCGGUGAAAUGCGUAGAUAUCGUAAGGAAGACCAGUGGCGAAGGCGGGUCUCUGGACAGUUCCUGACGCUGAGGCACGAAGGCCAGGGGAGCAAACGGG
rnacentral:rRNA from 1 species